rnacentral:rRNA from 1 species
UACGGAGGAUCCGAGCGUUAUCCGGAUUUAUUGGGUUUAAAGGGUGCGUAGGUGGAUUGGUAAGUCAGUGGUGAAAGUUUGCAGCUUAACUGUAAAAUUGCCGUUGAAACUGCCGGUCUUGAGUGCAAAUGAGGUAGGCGGAAUGCGUCGUGUAGCGGUGAAAUGCUUAGAUAUGACGCAGAACUCCGAUUGCGCAGGCAGCUUACUAAACUACUACUGACGCUCAGGCACGAAGGCGUGGGGAUCAAACAGGAUUAGAUACCCGGGUA